rnacentral:rRNA from 1 species
AUUGAACGCUGGCGGCAGGCCUAACACAUGCAAGUCGAGCGGAGCGGCGGACGGGUGAGUAAUGCCUAGGAAUCUGCCUGGUAGUGGGGGAUAAAGUCCGGAAACGGGCGCUAAUACCGCAUACUAUCAGAUGAGCCUAGGUCGGAUUAGCUAGUUGGUGGGGUAAAGGGCUACCACGGCGACGAUCCGGAACUGGUCUGAGAGGAUGAUCAAUUACUCGGGAACUUAGACACGGGCCAGACUCCUACGGGAGGCAGAAGUGGGGAAUAUUGGACAAUUGGCGAAAGCCUGAGCCAGACAUGCCGGGUGUGUGAAGAAGGUCUUCGGAUUGUAAAGCACUUUAAGUUUGGAGGCGUUACCAACAGAAUAAGCACCGGCUAACUUCGUGCCAGCAGCCGCGGUAAUUC